GACGAACGCUGGCGGCGUGCUUAACACAUGCAAGUCGAACGGAAAGGCCCUGCUUUUUUGGGGUGCUCGAGUGGCGAACGGGUGAGUAACCCGUGAGUAACCUGCCCUUGACUUUGGGAUAACUUCAUGAAACUGGGGCUAAUACCGGCUAGGAGCUCCUGCUGCAUGGUGGGGGUUGGAAAGUUUCGGCGGUUGGGGAUGGACUCGCGGCUUAUCAGCUUGUUGGUGUGGUAGUGGCUUACCAAGGCUUUGACGGGUGGCAGGGCUGAGCGGGUGACCGGCCACACUGGGAUUGAGAUGAGACCCAGACUACAACGGGAGGCAGGAGAGCAGAAGAGAGUACAAGGGGCUGAAGCAUGGUGUAGCAACGCAGCGUGCGGUGUGACGGCCUGGGGGUAGGAUUCCGCAGCCGCCUGUGACGAAGUGUGAGUGACGGUAACGGGUAAAGAAGCACCGGCUAACUACGUG
rnacentral:rRNA from 1 species